rnacentral:rRNA from 1 species
UACGAGAGGCCCAAACGUUAUUCGGAAUUACUGGGCUUAAAGAGUUCGUAGGCGGCGCAGAAAGUAGGGUGUGAAAGCCCUCGGCUCAACCGAGGAAUUGCGCUCUAAACUACUGUGCUUGAGGAAUCUAGAGGUGAGCGGAACUGAUGGUGGAGCGGUGAAAUGCGUUGAUAUCAUCAGGAACACCCGGUGGCGAAAGGCG